rnacentral:lncRNA from 1 species
UCCUUAUAUAUCACCAUACAUAGAGGUAUUUUGGUUAAUUUUAAUUCUUUUUUUUUUUUGGGUCAAAUUUUAUUUAUAUUGGACCAGACAAAAAAAAUAAGAAAUAAAUAAAAUCCAAAUAAAUUCAAAUUGUCAUUAAAAAUCAACAUUGAUCUUUUUUAUUACUGCUUCGUUCACGAUGAAAAGGAAAAUAAAUACGGGGUUUUUCCUGAUCCAAUAAUGAAGUUGCGUAACGAGUCUCGCGGAUUUAGUGGUCAUUGCCUCUCACUGUUACUUCUGCAGUGGCGUGGGGGCAGUGGCAUUGUCUGAAGUUUACGUGGAGUGGGACCCACUGGAAGACAACUUUUGACUGACAUUUCUCUUCUCUAUUAUUCGGAGCUCAGACUUUUCUUUCUUUCUUAUUUACUAGCCUCGCAUGUACUUCGAGAGGGCUUUUUUUUAAAAAUUUUAAAUUUAUUUUUUAAUAAAAAAGAUAAUAAAUAGUUGUGUUUUAUAAAAAUAGUAUUUAUUUUUUUUUUCUUUUUUAAAUUUUAAUUUUUUAAAAUAUAAAUUUAUCAUAUUAUUCUUAUUUAAUUAAUAAUUUUAAUUUUUAAUGUUUGCAUUAAUUAAUAAUUUUUUCUGGUAUUUUGAAUGUUUUUAGCAUUAUCUACCUUUUACUUUAUAUAUAUAUAUAUAUAUAGUCAAACUCGAAACAGAUCAAUUUUUUUCUUUUCUUAGUGAAUUGGGGAAAAACCCCAAACAACACAACUGCAUAAAAUCAACACAAACAAGACGGGAACAAGAUAUCCCAAUCAAGUCGUCAAUAACUAAAAAACCUAUCCAACUUAACACAUGCCUAAACCUAUGUUAUAGCUCCAGUUAGCUAAUCCGCACAGAUAUCUUUUGAUACAGUGCAAAAUUUAAAGAAACUAAAUAUUAAUCCUGUGAUGCAGGAUCGGUUUCACGCUUCCUCUCUUUCUAGCAGUUGAACGCCUAAUUUAGUUUAUUUUAGCAGAAUCAUACCACAACUUGAUUGGGGAAUUCAAAUAAAACAAAAAAUACUUGGUACGUACAUGUCUGACUAUUUUGUAAAACUCUCUGAUAACACUAAAAUAUAAACAAACAGUUGAAUUCACCGCAAUCCUCCUUAAUAUAAAACUCGGUGCAUGCAAUGGGUUAAGAUUGUAAUACAGAUCAGAUGGGUAAAAUUAUAUUAUAUAAAUUGUGUGUAUAGUCCAGGUGGACGGACAUCUUCUUCCUCCAAAUUUUGAGCAGGAGUUGAAUGAGUAAGUAGCAAAAUGGAAGGCAGGCUUCUAGUUUUCAGCUACUUGCUACUGCUGCAGCUACCUUGUUGCUUUCCUCUUCUUUCUUGGAUCUCUUUUUCAAUUCUCUAUUGCUCUGGAAAUAAAUAAUUAAACAAAAGAGGUCAAAAUUGGAACACUAGUGAAUUUUUAUAAGGGACUAUGACUGGUGAAUUUUCUUUAUGAUUUCUGAAAUGCCUCUUUUGAUUCUAGGAUCAAACAGAAGACAACAAAACAAAACAAAAGCAGAGGACCCCUUGACUUGAUGUAUCAAAAAGCAGAGAGUAAAGUUUUGAGAGAUCACACCACCAAAAUUUAUCUAAAAUUUAACUUGAUGUACAUGAACUUAAGGAAGAUGUACUGACCGCUGAAUGAAGUUGAAGGGGAAAGGGGUCGAGUAUGAUGGAGCGGAUGGACAUCUUGGCAAUCUCCAAAACGGCAGCGUCUCGAACGGGGGCAACAUCACUGCUCAAAUGCUCGUAAGCUGCUUCAAAAGCCUCCUGCCAAAACCGAGGCAGUCGAUUGCUGCUACUUCUGCUGCUCUGGGUGUACAAAUCCCACAUGUGCCUCACCACCUUCUCUCUCUCCUCCACCUCCUGUGUUUAUAUACACAAAUUAAAUUAAUUUCUACUACAGAGUACAGUAAUUUAAUUUAAUUUGAUUAAACCAUGAAAUUGAACAACAUAUGCAAAUAUAUUAGUACCAGAAUAUCGAGAUCGUCGAAGGAUGGAAGGUCCAAGUCGUCGGAGAGGCGAGUUAAGUUGCCGGCGGACCACUUGAGGGUAACGGAUCCGGUGAACAUGGACCAGAAAGCCAGCAGGAGAAUCGCAGCUAAAACCCAGAACUUGUAGCGAGUCUUGUCCAAAAAGCUUCUGCCUUUGGAUGAUGGAGAAGAAGAAGAAGAAGAAGAAGGUGAGGUGUCCUUCCUGAAGACCGUUGGUGUAGCUGUGGUUGAUGGGAUUGUUAUGCGUGUCGGUGGAUCGUUCUGUUUCAUUUUUAGAAGAUGGAGGAGUUAAUAAUCUUCAACAGUGCGGGCUAAAGACUGAAGAGCGGAGGAGACAGAGAGACAGAGACCGAGACCGAGGAGAGAAAUUAUUUUUUGGUCUGGGAGGCUCUGUGGACUUUUUGGAACGCUAGGGUGGGUGUGGUGUGGCCCUGCCUGUGGACAUGUUGGGUGGGGGUGAGUAAAUGUUUGGGUGUAGAAUUGUAAAUUAAUUAAUGGGUGGCAUAGAAUGGGGUGGGUGAGGUGAGCCAUCAAUGUAUCAAAUUCGUUUCGUCAUGCAUGGUAUGAUUAAUCACACUGACGAAACCGCCAUGGAUGAUGGAUGAGAGAGCAUGGAGUGUCUCUAGUGUUUGGCCAUCUACCAUGCCCAAUUUUGCCAGUGGAAUUUGUUUUGUUUCUGCUGAAUUAUGGAGAUGUGGGGUCCAGUUAUACGCGGGCGGGAGGGCAGGAGCAUAUAGCACUUGCCGACUAGCUUUGACUCUUGGUUCAAAACAACAUCACGUCACGUCCUUCCUCUCACCGUCACGACUCACUUUGUUUAGCUUUUGGUUCUUGGGAGACUUUGAAAAAAACUAAAGAGAGAAGUUUUUUAAAAGAAGUUGAAAUUGAUAAAAGUGCUCUUAUUUAUUUUUUAAUUUUUUUAAGGAAUUUUUUAUAUUUGUAUGUAUUUUAGUUUGAAAAUUGAGAGAUUUUUCUGUAUUUUUUGAAAUUUUUUUGCUUUUUUCAAAAGUUUUUUUUUUUCCUAAAACCUAAACCUAAAUUUACUUUGGUUGUUUCGUUUCAGUAUUUAGCUUUUUAAAUUGAGUAAUGCUAUUUAGACACACAACAUUGACCACCUUAACUGACCACCUUAUGUGGCAACUGAUGUGUCAUGCCAUAUCAAUUAAUGAAUGUCGUCAUGUCAAUUCAAAAACAAAUUAAAAAACCCUAGCAUUCCUAGUGAGUGGCCUCAUAGUAGCAUUCAUUAAUUGACAUGGCAUGGUCAGUUAAGGUGGUCAAUGUUGUGUGUCCAAAUAGCAUAACUCUUUUAAAUUUAUUAUUUCAUGGUAUUUAUUUAUGGAUUUUAACCCUGACCUCACUUUUGCCUCAUGUGGCCACUUCCACUGCGGAAGGCAUUCCCGAGCAGGGGGGCCCAACGGCCAAAUUGCAACUCCAGCGCGCCAAGUCUAGCUCAGGUGAGGGGUCGGUCUUACGAGCCCAGGCAAGUCCACUAAUAAUUUCAAUCCAAGCCGUUAUUUGGAUAAAAUAACACAAUGCUAACAUCAGCAACUAAAAAAAAUUUAAAAAAAAAUUCCACAAUUUUUUUAAAUAAAUAUUUAGCCAUAUUAUUUACUUCCCACACUAAAAACUCUAUACAAAUUCAUUUCCUUAUAUCUCAUGUGAAUAAUAAUUAUCCUUGGCCUAUUCGGUGGAAACAAAAUUACAGGGACGACCACUAUUCAUGUAAAUAGUGACAGCCCUUUUCUUACCCAUACCUUAGGCCCUAUUUGGUUCAUGGGAAAGGAGACUUGUGAAUGGGAAAUCAAUUGCUUUCCCAUGUUUAGUAAGUUUAGGUAUGAGAAAUCGUUACCUGGCUCAUGGGAAAGUUUGGGAAAAUGAGUUAACAUUAAAUACAUAUUUUUUAUGACCAUUUUAUCCCCAUUAAUAAUUUAGAAUUACAAUAUAUGAUUAAAUGCAUUUUUUUAAUUUGAUUUAAUAUAGGCAUAAUUAAAAAUUUAUACAAACUUUGUUUUCAAUUCAUACUCAAAACAAACAUAAGAAAGGAAAUAAAGUGAUAUUUCCCUGUUACUUUCCCAACAUUACCAAACGUGGAAAAUAAAUCUUCCAUUCUUAAUCCUUGGAGAAUGACAUGGAAAAUAAUUUUCUUUCAAAUUCAUUCAAUGAACCAAACAGGGCCUAAGGGUGGAAAUACUCUUAGAAAUUUGUGCUUCUAAAUUUGCAUUACUGAGAAGAUGACUGCCCAGCUACUGUCCAGCUCAGCGUAUUAGCUCUCGUACUGGAAAUUGACAAAUCUUAAAGCCUCUCAUUUUCCCACCGUCCUAUUUAAAACCUCAAAUCAAUAAAAAAGCAGCAGGAUGGAUGAUUCAUGAUGGAUGAUUCAUGAUUGUGUAAGUAAAAGUUCAACCCCUUUCUUAAUAUCAUCCCUCUCGUUUAAUCAGACAACCAAAACACUCCAAAAUAUGAUGUGGACAAAACGCAACGGCCCGGCAACUUUCUGAGGCCCAAUGGGCUUCCCAGCCUCCGCUACUUUAGAACAUACUCAAGCCCUAAAUCUUUUUUGUCCAUUUCUGAUUGGCAAUCAUUCAUCACAUCAACCUAACCCGCACUUUAUUAUAAAAGUUAAACCAAGUUGGUUAAAGUGAAUAGGGUUUAGAUUAAAUAAAAAUUAAAUAUUAUUCGAAUUUAAAAAAAUAUUAAACUAAACCAAAUUUAUUGAUGAAUAGAUGAUUUCAGACAAAAAUACCUACCGAAUUCCAUUAUAAAUUAAGUGGUAAUUUAUAACUUGUAUUUUCCAACAUACUAGGUUACAAAAAAGUAGUGUUUCCAAUACAUUUGGGGACACGAUUACAACACAAAUGAAACAAGCUUAUGAUUACUCCUCAAGAAACAACUGCGUGUAGCGAAGAGGUUCUGUUCUUUGGCAAAUUCACUGCAUCUGAAUUCAGCUCAAAGUAUAUAAUUAUUAUUCAACAAAAGAAUCAAAUCAUAAAAUUUAACUUAAAAUGACAAACACAAAUGUAUAUGGCGCUCAGAAUGGGUGCAUAUCAUAUCAUGGAUUAUCUCAUAUGUCCAGACAUAAAUUAGAGCAACCUCAUCAUAGCAGCCAGUCUCCCAAUGCACAAAUCUAGAAACCCUAAUGCAAACACAUUACACAAGAAAAACAAUGCAAACAACUAGAAUUAUACAAAAUUCAAAGAUCCUCAGAGCCAUUCCACAAGUGGAAGUUGCAGACAAUCUACAUAGCAUCAGAUUCUGUCCGCCCGUCUGCUUUUCCUCAUCAUUGAACAUUUUCUUCAAAACUCAAAAUCAACGCCAACAGAAAUUAAAAAAAAAAACAGGGCAAUGCUUCAGAUAAUAAGCGGAGUAAUUUUGUCCACAUUUAUUUCGGUGUGUAGUAUAAGUGAAUGUUGUUUGUAGCAUCAUAUGCGUUGCCCUAUAUGAUAUGAUAUGAUAUAUCACCCAGAAAUCAAAUAAACAGAAAGUAAUUUACAAAUAAAUAAAAUAAAAUAAAAUUUUGAAAAUGGCAUCAGAUAAUAAGCGGAGUUUAUGUCAACACAAACAAUCAGUAUAUCAAUAAGCGGAAAAGAGUAUUCAUCAUUUGCCAUUUGACUCCACCAACAUAAACACAGAAUCGAAAAUCGAAAAUAAAAAAUAAAUCUGCAAAGAUGAAGAAAGUGAGUUUCGGUAGGUCCAUUUGACCCCAAAGCAAUCCUAUGUAUGCAAUGGGCUGGUAAGCCAACCUCUCGCUCUCUGCAUCCGUUAUAGCUCCUCCAGCAUUGAUUUUUUGCAUGGAAGGAGCGGGUAAACAGAUGCACACACAAUCAAAACCUAAAUAAUACCCAAACAGACGCUCAAUAUCUAGAUCCAGCAAGAAGGAAGGCAGGCAAGCAGAAACCAAACAACGAAAUUUGAUUCGGAUUUGUAUUGAAAGCAGGAGAGUGAUUGAGAACUGAGAGGAAUGAAAGGCGUCAAGCAGAGCUUAAAUAGGGGUUUGUGCGAAUUAGGGUUUUUUUCCCUUUUGGGCUUUCAAAUCUGAGAAUUUUCAUGGGCUUUUACAUAGCAAGCCCAAGCUCAAGCCCAGCUUUCAGGCCUGGUUAGUAA